AGGAAAAUGCUUAAUACAACGAAUUUGAGUUUCACGACAACAUCACGAAUGACGUGUACCAAUAAGCGCAUGUGAUUCAUGUUUCUCUCUCCUUGUUUUUUUCAAUUAGAUUAAUUUGAAAAGGAGAUCUACGGUUCAACUGUGCUGUCAUCGGUAAAACCGAGGUUUGGCAAAUUCCUCAUUUGAUAACAGAUCUGCUACUGCUAGUAACUCCUCUCUAUCAACGAAUCAUGAAUAGAGUGGUACUGUGCUCCAGUUUUGCAAGCACCCCGAGAUUCUCUCAUAAGAGAAUUAGACCCAAUUUAAAACUUAAUUAGAUGCUAAAGUAGAAAAAAUUUCAAAGAAUGAGCAACAUAGCCUUCCACUCACCAGAGCAAGCGGUGAUGACGGUGGAAAAGGUGUUUUUGGAAUGUUAUCAUGGUUCUGUUUUUGUAUAGAUAUUUUAUAAGGAAAUACAUAUAAAGAAAACAGUGGUAUUCGUGAAAAUUCGCGAUGCACUGUUUCGCGAUAAAUAGC
rnacentral:lncRNA from 1 species